GAUUACUAAUGUUGUUUUUGAUGGUGCGUUUUUCUUCGAAUGCUCGCUCGAAAAACCAACGAGUAUUCAAAGCCUGAAAAAUGGCAUUCGGGCCAGCCCUAGUAUCAGGUUAAAUGGUUUGAUCCAGAUAUGUAGGGUUAUAGUGGGGGUAUCAGGUUAAAUGGUUUGAUCCAGAUAUGUAGGGGUUAUAGUGGGGGUAUCAGGUUAAAUGGUUUGAUCCAGAUAUGUAUUACUGGUCCGGCACCACGGUACCGGUGCACGACGGGAGUUGUGACGGCUGGGAGUCGCCGGAGUGCCCGGGCCGCGCUCACGGUGAAUGAAUGUCCAAUCCAACCAUUUCUUCCUCAACUCUUCUAUCUUGGCCAAAAUAUCUCUCUGUGUCUCUCUCUCUGUCUCUCUCUCCUUCUCCCUCUCUCUGAUUCUCUCUGGUAGUUUAAUUGUUUGUAUUUCUAUGACGGACAGUGCUGUCAGCCUGUCAGAGGCGAGACAUUUGGAUGUCAUGAAUAUUCAUGAGUAAGAGCCAAAAUCCUGGCGUUCCUCCCCACCAACCUCCUCCUCCACACUAGAACAGCGUGAAACAGGAGCACCAGAGCAUUUUUUCACCAAAACUGACUCACAGGGGAUUUAUUGCUACUAGUGACCACCGCAAAAUGAAUAAAAAAA
ensembl:lncRNA